AGGCCGGGAGAGUGAGUGAUUUCAGCACGAACUCCCCAGCGUCCCCACCGCCUUCCAGCCCCCAGAGCCAGCGUGUCUCGGCACAGAGCGGACAACGACAGGGCCGGAGUCCCCAGCAGCUUUUGCCACUGACGAAGCCCGGGCACCAUGAAUGCAAGCGACUUCCGCCGGCGGGGGAAGGAGAUGGUGGAUUACGUGGCUGACUACCUGGAGGGCAUCGAGGGUCGCCAGGUGUACCCCGACGUGCAGCCCGGCUACCUGCGCCCCCUGAUCCCCGCCACCGCCCCCCAGGAGCCAGACACGUUUGAGGACAUCCUUCAGGACGUUGAGAAGAUAAUCAUGCCGGGGGUGACCCACUGGCACAGCCCCUACUUCUUCGCCUACUUCCCCACGGCCAGCUCGUACCCGGCCAUGCUCGCCGACAUGCUGUGUGGGGCCAUUGGCUGCAUCGGCUUCUCCUGGGCUCGGAGCUCGGCCUGGGGUGGCGGCUGUGUGUAUGGAGGUUACAGCGUGACUCCGAGCUGGGGCCGAACAGGUCUGCUUCUUCCUCUCCAGGUGGUGGCUACGCUGGGGACCACAUCGUGCUGCUCCUUUGACAAUCUCUUAGAAGUGGGACCCAUCUGUCAUGAAGAGGACAUAUGGCUGCACGUGGAUGCUGCCUACGCAGGCAGUGCCUUCAUCUGCCCUGAGUUCCGGCACCUGCUGAAUGGAGUGGAGUUUGCAGAUUCAUUUAACUUUAAUCCCCACAAAUGGCUCUUGGUGAAUUUUGACUGCUCGGCUAUGUGGGUGAAAAGGAGAACGGACCUGACUGGAGCCUUCAAAUUGGACCCCGUGUACUUAAAGCACAGCCACCAGGACUCGGGUGAGUGCUGGCCUCAGGGUCUCCGAUUGCUUCCCCACUGGCAGCUGCCACUGGGUCGGCGAUUCCGGUCCCUGAAAAUGUGGUUUGUUUUCAGGAUGUACGGAGUCAAGGGACUGCAGGCCUAUAUCCGCAAGCACGUGCAGCUGUCUCAUGAGUUUGAGGCAUUUGUGCUUCAGGAUCCCCGCUUUGAAGUCUGUGCCGAAGUCACCCUGGGGCUGGUGUGUUUCCGGCUGAAGGGCUCCGACGGACUGAAUGAAGCGCUUCUGGAAAGGAUAAACAGCGCCAGGAAAAUCCACUUGGUUCCCUGUCGCCUGAGGGGUCAGUUCGUGCUGCGGUUUGCCAUCUGCUCGCGCACGGUGGAGUCGGGCCACGUGCGGCUGGCCUGGGAGCACAUCCGAGGGCUGGCGGCCGAGCUGCUGGCCGCGGAGGAGGGAAAGGCAGGUAGGCCGCACUGCCGUCCGUGCACGGGGGCGACGGAGCAGGGCCCUCGGCUGCAGAAGUGGACAGAACGGAUGCCGCGGGGAGGCUCUAGGAACGUGGAGAGAGGUCUGCUCUGUACUCUUUUCUGAGAGAUGGUCAAUCAUGUAUCAUAUGACUUGCCCUCAGGUUUCUUCAGGGUGGCGAAGGCAGCUUACUGUCACUGCAAGCUUAUUUAUUCAGCAGGCAAACUAUACAUGAGUGGAAAUGAAUGAACCCCCCAAAAAAGGCAAUUUGGGAGUUCUCACUGUGGCAGAGUGGGUUAAGAAGCUAACCACAGAUGCCCAGGUUGAUGAGGAGGCAUGGGUUCAAUCCCCGGCCUGGUGCCAUGGGUUAAAGAUCCAGCAUUGCCUCAGCUGUGGUGUAGGUCAUGGCCGUGGCUCGGAUUCAAUCCCUGGCCCAGGAACUUCCAUUUGCUGCAGGUGUGGCCACAACUUUUUUUUUUUAAAGGCAAUUUGACAUGACUGAUGGUUUACAGUCAGGAAGAACCAAAUUCAUGAUGGUUUAGAGCAGGGAAAAGUCUGGAAUGCUGGGCAUCCUUUGCAGGAAAGCAGGCGGGCAAUGCUGAAGGAAAACGCACGAACGCAGCACUGGUGACGGGCUGAAAUGAUGCCUGUGGAGCCACAGGGAUCUUAAGAGCAUCGCUAGUUCCUUAGGGAGGUCACGCCACUGGACGUUGUCCACCUUCCUGGUUUCUUUUUUCUUUUCAUCCCACUUGGCGGCUGGGGUGGUCGGUAGUGGGAGCUUCUGCUGCCCUUUCUCUUUUCCUGCCCGCUGCCCGUCUCGUCACCUUCGGACGUCUAACCAAAGUGGGCGAUGCAAUUAGCCUUCAGCUUGACCUUCUGUGCUGUAAACUGGGAAUACCUGAGAUAUUGUGGGGCUCAAAACCCGGAGGGUAAAGACCCUAUGUCAUUUAUGGGGAGGCCCAUCCACGGCUGCUAGCCUGAGAGGUCCGGGAUCCACCUCCUCUGCCCCGAAACACCAGGUCCCCUUCCUAGCUCAGCAAAGCCCUUUCCUUUCUUUUUUUUUUUUUUUCGUCUUUUUUUUUUUUUUUUGUCUUUUUGCCAUUUCUUGGGCCACUCCCGUGGCAUGUGGAGGUUCCCAGGCUAGGGGUCGAAUCGGAGCUGUCGCCACCAGCCUACACCAGAGCCACAGCAAUGCGGGAUCCGAGCCGCGUCUGCAACCUACACCACAGCUCACAGCAAUGCUGGAUCCUUAACCCACUGAGCAAGGCCAGGGAUCGAACCUGCAAUCUCAUGGUUCCUAGUCGGAUUCGCUAACCACUGCGCCACGACGGGAACUCCAGCAAAGCCCUUUCCUAAAAGUCUGCUGCUUGUAAGCCGAGGGGCCACCCUCUGGAGAGCAACCGCAAAGUUCUAGCUUGAGAAGAGGUGGGGGAGAGGCCCAUAUUUCCAGAUUACCCCAUUGCUCCGAGAUAAGCAUGCCUGGGUGGCGGGGCUGUGUGCGUAGGUGGGGAAAGAAGACACAUUCAAAACAAACCCAUACGAGGCAGACACUCCAGAGGAACGUUUCUGCAGCCUGUGUCUGCGUAUCUCAUUCCAUCGUACUCUUAUCCCCGUGUGUCCAAAACAACACAGGAAGAGACCGUGGCUCAGAAAAACGAUCAGAAACAGAGGCGCAUUUCUGACAGAAGUCACAACUUACCGUGGAGUCAUUAUAUCAUUUCAAAAGGUUUUUAAAUAACCUUCCCCCCUCCCUUUUUUUGGCCAUCCUGGCUGCAUAUGGAAGUUCCCAGCCCAGGCAUGCAAUCCAAGCUAGAGCUGCAGUCUCUGCCACAACUGCAGCAAUGCAGGCUGCUUAAUCCACUGUGCCAGGCCCGGACUUGAACCGGUGCCCCCACAGAGACAAGUCGAAUCAUUAACCCACUGUGCCACAGCGGAAACUCCAGGUUUAAUAUUUUUUGACAUAGGAUAUAAUAGUAAAUUGUAAUGCAUAUAUGUUGUUUGGGUCAGAUUAACUAGAGGGAUGAAAAUCUUAAUCCCUUGGUUUUACUCGUAAAACUUAUGUAAAUGGGAGUUCCCCUGGUAAUGAACCCAACCAGUAUCCAUGAGAACCUGGGUUUGAUCCCUGGCCUCACUUAGUAGGUCAGGGAUCUGGUGUUGCUAUGGGCUGUGGUAUAGGUCGCAGACGUGGCUUGGAUCCCAUGUUGCUGGGGCUGUGGUGUAGGCCCGCAGCUGCAGCUCUGAUUUGACCCAGGAACUUCCUUAUGCCAAGGGUGCGGCCCUAAAAAGCCAAAAAAAAAAAAAAAAAAAAAAAAAAAGUGAAUGUACAUCAAAUCCGCAAUGUCAUAGUUGUGAAAGAAACUAUCCUAUUUCGCAGUAGAUAGAAAACUGGACCCAGAUUCUAGUUGACAUUAAUAAAAUGUAUCCUAGAGAAGCCAGAUCGGCAAUACAAACGUUUCUUUCAGCUCAAACUCUCUUCCAUUGGACGGUUCGCCAAACGGUAGAGUCCUUCUUUGUGUUCAAAUGAGGAAUAUACACAUUCUGAUUUUUAAGCUUUUUUGAAUAUAGCCAUAUGUUCAAGUUAUUUUUUCCCUGUAGAGAUCAAAAGUUGAAGUGCCCUGAAGAGCAGAAUCGGAGGAGACGCGUCGUCCCCGCUCCGAGGCGUAGAGCCUGCAUGUGGUCCCCCCACUUCUUUAGCCCACGUUCUCCAGAAAGAAGCUUGUGCCUACGUCUGACCAGCCUCUCAGCAAUGAAGAAGUAUUAUCUGCUCUUUGAAAAGUUAAUCCCAGUGGAGACAGCUUUUACUCUUUAUUUGGCUGUGAUUGUUUGUUGAUUAAAACAUCAUAGGUUUCUGCAUCCUUGAAGUUGUCAGCGGUGGUCCACUUUCCGGGGCAACCUAUGCUGAUGGGAUUUGAGAUGAUACCCGUGGUCUUUAAAUUACUCUGUCCUGUGGCUUAGUGCUUAAUAAAUGAUGUGAAGUG
rnacentral:lncRNA from 1 species